UGGAUUCUUCAUACCAGACGAACACUGCCCAUCCCAUCAGCACUGGGCACAUAAGCAACAUUGGGCCAGAUCAGUAGUACGGUGGGGGACCACGUGCGAACCCGUGGUGACGAUCUGU
rnacentral:rRNA from 1 species